UACGUAGGGGGCAAGCGUUAUCCGGAUUUACUGGGUGUAAAGGGAGCGUAGACGGCGGAGCAAGUCUGAAGUGAAAGCCCGCGGCCCAACUGCGGGACUGCUUUGGAAACUGCCCGGCUAGAGUGCUGGAGAGGUAAGCGGAAUUCCUAGUGUAGCGGUGAAAUGCGUAGAUAUUAGGAGGAACACCAGUGGCGAAGGCGGCUUACUGGACAGUAACUGACGUUGAGGCUCGAAAGCGUGGGGAGCAAACAGG
rnacentral:rRNA from 1 species